ACGCUCGACACCUACGGGAAGCAGCAGUAGGGAAUCUUCCACAAUGGGCGCAAGCCUGAUGGAGCAACACCGCGUGAGUGAAGAAGGGUUUCGGCUCGUAAAGCUCUGUUGUUGGAGAAGAACGUGCGUGAGAGUAACUGUUCACGCAGUGACGGUAUCCAACCAGAAAGUCACGGCUAACUACGUGCCAGCAGCCGCGGUAAUCUGAGCGGGCUGGCAAGGC
rnacentral:rRNA from 1 species